rnacentral:lncRNA from 1 species
UGGGAACUGGGCAGGAAAAACUGGACACGGGUCAUGAAAAUUGCAUUUCUACUGGACACGCACAGGUUCAUUCAUUCAUUUUUGGGGGUGGAAGAGCUUGGGGGAGGUGGACACGACUCAUGGGGAGUUUUAUAUAGUUUUUCUUCAUUUCCUCAAUUUCUUUUCGUUUUUUUUUUUUUUUUUGGAACCUAGAGAUGCUUACCCUCUGAGCCACUCUCCGGUCACUUGGGUAUGGACCUUUGAAGCCUUUUGGACUCAAGCUUCCUGCAUCUGAGGUCAUUUAACCGUCAAUUCCAUGCCUUGAGUCCACGCAACGUCGAUUCAGCCGAGGGGCCGUGGUCCUGUGCGUCUCUCGAACCCAGAACUCCGCGUGGACAGAGGACCUGUCAAUCAGCCGUGGACGGCCAUGCAGGAACCACAUCUCUCACCUCCACACGGACCGUGGACGAGCGUCUGAUUUGCUUCGGGUCACAAGACAUGGAAGGACUUUGCAGAAAGUGGAACUGCAGUGACUCCUAUGGUGCAUUUAGACAUUCACGUGGAAACGCCCGAGAAAUGUGCAGGUCCCAGAAUGACGAGAACGUGUGAAUCCAGCCCAAAUCGUGCAUUUUAUUUCAGCCCGGCAGAGCCCCGCCAAGAUCAUCCCAAUGUGAUUCGGCCCAGAGACUGGAAAGUGUGAAAAAAUAAAAUGGUUAUUAUCAAAAGGCAUUGAGAUUUGGGGAUCUUUGUUAUGUGGCAUGACAUCUGCUGUAGCUGACUGAUACAGAAGGAGGAGCUCUUUUGAGAAUGAGGAGAAACUAGGCAAAACCAGCUCUUUCUUCUAAGGAAACCUCCCAAGAAAUUGUCUACAUGUCAGUUUGAAAAAUUAUAUUUUUUAGUAUGUAU